CAGAAAUGCACAUCAUCAUCUACAAGCAAACCUGAAUCCCUUCAGUGGAUUUAUUAACUGUUGUGUUCUAAAUUGGAAAUAAAGCAGAACCUGAGCAUUAAAUAAAUAAAUGAAAAUUGGACAGUGCAAGCCUGAGGAUACAAUGUUCCAGUAUUUGAAGAAGCCAAGAAAAACUCUUAUUAACUUCAACAAGCUCCAGAUCUGACCUUUGGCCUACGCUAUGCAAGCAAAACAAAAGUGAAAGUGAAGACCUGGUUCAUGGCUGUUCUAAAAAUGUGAACAUAAUAAGACUGCUCAGCCUGCUCGAGGCCAACGGAAUGGGAGUAUGGUAGUAAAAAUGUCACAUACUUUUGCAUGUGAUUACUGAUACAGAGGGUAUUAGCCUACAAAUGCUCACCAUCCUAGAAGAAAGUUUGGAUCCUGAGCAUUUUUCUAAACCGAAUGCAGAGGAUAUACAGCAUCAAUAAAGCACUGCACUGAUACUCUGAUAGCUCAGAUACUCUCUAGAGGAAAAGGAUUCAACCAAGUUUUCACGUAAGGCUGACACAAACCUGGAGAUGAAUCAGAUGGCAAAAUUAAAUCGACAGUGCUAAACUGGGGGAUCAGCUGACACAACAAAUAGCAAUCCAGAGGCACCUUCAGAAACUUGGGGAUUGGAUGGCCAGAAGUCUCCUUCAGCAAGUUUAAGGACCAAGAUCUGCACUUAAGACAGAACAAUCCCACACACUGGGAAAGGCUGAGAGCUGACUGGCUGAGGACCAGCCCUGCUGAAAACACCCAGGGGAUUACAGUGGAGGCCAAUUAAAACAUGAGCCAGCAGCGUGUUCUCAAUGCAAAUAAAUCAAACAGCAUUAUGGCUAUAUUAGGAACGUGGCCAGCAGAUCAAGUCUCUGCUUGAUGCCUGGCUUCCUAACAGAGCAUCCAAGUAGGACAUCCUUAUUAUAGACAAGCAUCUUUUUGUUCUACAGUGUUGGGCUCAGUCAUGGAUAAGAGAGGAUUCAUAUAGUUCAUGAUAGAAAUCAACUAAGCAGUUGUCAUUUAUUUCCUGUGUCCCUAUCUGGGUCAAAAGCAGCCUUCUACAAUCCGUUCACUUGUAAGUCUUGCAUGAGAAUCUAUUUUAAUGAAUUAGUGUUUAUAAAUCCCUCUGAAGAGGAAUCUUUUAAUGCUAGAGCCCAGGACUGUUAAUUUCACCCAUGGCCAGCGCGUCUACCUUUUCCCUCUAAUGCAUGGAAGGUCAGAUUUCUUCAGACCUGUGUCUGAUCCCAUGAUGCACUGAAGUGACUACAGCCUUUUGAGAAUGCAACUCCUAAUUCUCUGGUGCCACAAAUUCUUCAGCACACUGAAUAUCUGCAGCUUUUUUUUGGCUUCCACAGUUGUGAGUCACCGCAGCCCCCAAAACUCUAUGCAGACCUUUAACCAUUAAUUCUA